GACGAACGCUGGCGGCGUGCUUAACACAUGCAAGUCGAACGGAAAGGCCCUGCUUUUGUGGGGUGCUCGAGUGGCGAACGGGUGAGUAACACGUGAGUAACCUGCCCUUGACUUUGGGAUAACUUCAGGAAACUGGGGCUAAUACCGGAUAGGAGCUCCUGCUGCAUGGUGGGGGGUGGGAAGGUUCGGCGGUUGGGGAUGGACUGGCGGCUUAUAAGCUUGGUCGUGGGGUGGUGGCUUACCAAGGCUUUGAACGGUAGCCGGCCUGAGAGGGGGACCGGCCACAUUGGGACUGAGAUACGGCCCAGACUCCUACGGGAGGCAGCAGUGGGGAAUAUUGCACAAUGGGCGGAAGCCUGAUGCAGCAACGCCGCGUGCGGGAUGACGGCCUUCGGGUUGUAAACCGCUUUCGCCUGUGACGAAGCGUGAGUGACGGUAAUGGGUAAAGAAGCACCGGCUAACUACGUG
rnacentral:rRNA from 1 species